UGGGGAAUUUUGGACAAUGGGCGAAAGCCUGAUCCAGCAAUGCCGCGUGUGUGAAGAAGGCCUUCGGGUUGUAAAGCACUUUUGUCCGGAAAGAAAUCCUUGGCUCUAAUACAGUCGGGGGAUGACGGUACCGGAAGAAUAAGCACCGGCUAACUACGUGCCAGCAGCCGCGGUAAUACGUAGGGUGCAAGCGUUAAUCGGAAUUACUGGGCGUAAAGCGUGCGCAGGCGGUUUGCUAAGACCGAUGUGAAAUCCCCGGGCUCAACCUGGGAACUGCAUUGGUGACUGGCAGGCUAGAGUAUGGCAGAGGGGGGUAGAAUUCCACGUGUAGCAGUGAAAUGCGUAGAGAUGUGGAGGAAUACCGAUGGCGAAGGCAGCCCCCUGGGCCAAUACUGACGCUCAUGCACGAAAGCGUGGGGAGCAAACAGGAUUAGAUACCCUGGUAGUCCACGCCCUAAACGAUGUCAACUAGUUGUUGGGGAUUCAUUUCCUUAGUAACGUAGCUAACGCGUGAAGUGUCACCGCUGGGGAGUACGGUCGCAAGAUUAAAACUCAAAUGAAUU
rnacentral:rRNA from 1 species